rnacentral:lncRNA from 8 species
UGAGGACUAUUUCCAAACAUCCUGCCUUAAUAAAGAUAUUACAAACUAGCGUUCUGUUCAGUAAUGUAAGUCUGGUAACUCUGGCUUUAGCAAUGUUAGUCUUUGAAAAGAGAAAAUGCAAAGGCAACGGCUGCUAAGAAUAAUUCUCUAUGCAGGGUAUGAGUUGUGUUGUGGCGUGUGGUUAUGUGGUGUUGCAAUGAUACUGCUUUGCCCAUAGGGUGCAUUUCAAAACAUCCUACCUCAAUGGUAGAAGUUUCAAAGUUGACUAAUUAUGGCACAAGCUGUGAGGCUACACGGUAACGGAAAAGCAAAAGUCUUGACAGAUUCACGCCUUCACAAAAGAGACAGGUAAGAGAUACUCACAAAAUAAAACAACAUAUUUGAUGUAUUGAAUACUGUCUACUUUUAUCAACAACUAAUUUGAGUGCUCAGUGUUUAUUUCCACGCCACUUGACAACCAUUCAUUUAUGAUUUCAGCAUUUGACAUAAAGUCAAUCAAGUAAGAACUGCUAUCUAUGCUGAGUUUUUAUCUUAUUCAUUAUUUAUUAGUGGCACAUUGUAUAGAAGUGAAUAUAAACUGCAACUGGUAUAUUUAAAUGUCAGAGUCUUUGCUGUCUGCAAUUUGGUAAAUAAAAACUUUGAACCUGGAACCAUCUAUCAAAUAUUUUAAGUCUGAUUGUUAGUCCAUUGAAAUGACUGUUCAGAGACCAAUCCUGUGUCUAGUCCUUUUAGAGUUAAAGGACUCACAAAAGAUGGAGACUUCACAGAGGUCUCCCGUUCAGUCAUCCUUUCUGAUCUCAAUAAUAGUUGUGCUGAAUAUCAUCGUAUGGAUGUUUCUAAUGUCAGCAGUGGGAUUAGGGGCUAUGCACCUACAUGACUGCCCCUUACAGCCUUAUAUCCCCAUCUACCUGCUGGUGUUCGGGGUGACGUCCAUCGCCUCCCUGCUCCUAUCCUACCUCAAUAACACACUGGAGACUGGCUUCCUGAGCCUACUGUGUUCCUCCUGCAUCUUCCUGCUCCAGCUCUUCAACCUCGGCUGGUUCAUCACAGGGAGUGAGUGGGUGUACUCCAUAUAUCCCCCGAACUAUGACUCGAAUGGUGGAGAGAAGUACUGUCAGAGGAAGAUAUACCUGUUUGCUUUCUGGUUCAACAGCCUGGGCAGCAUCUGUAUGGCUGUGGGGUUCUUCUGUGCAGUGUACUUCCUCUUCCUUACCUGUGUGAAAAUGGCAUUUAGGGGACACCAUUUACUCCAUUCACAUAAGAGAUCGUAUGGUGUGGACGCUUGA